rnacentral:rRNA from 1 species
GAUGAACGCUAGCUACAGGCUUAACACAUGCAAGUCGAGGGGAAACGAUAUUGGAAGCUUGCUCCCGAUAGGCGUCGACCGGCGCACGGGUGAGUAACGCGUAUCCAACCUGCCCACCACUUGGGGAUAACCUUGCGAAAGUAAGGCUAAUACCCAAUGAUAUCUCAAGAAGACAUCUGAAAGGGAUUAAAGAUUUAUCGGUGAUGGAUGGGGAUGCGUCUGAUUAGCUUGUUGGCGGGGUAACGGCCCACCAAGGCGACGAUCAGUAGGGGUUCUGAGAGGAAGGUCCCCCACAUUGGAACUGAGACACGGUCCAAACUCCUACGGGAGGCAGCAGUGAGGAAUAUUGGUCAAUGGGCGAGGGCCUGAACCAGCCAAGUAGCGUGCAGGAUGACGGCCCUAUGGGUUGUAAACUGCUUUUAUAAGGGAAUAAAGUGAGCCUCGUGAGGCUUUUUGCAUGUACCUUAUGAAUAAGGACCGGCUAAUUCCGUGCCAGCAGCCGCCGCAG